rnacentral:rRNA from 1 species
AGGACGAACGCUGGCGGCGUGCUUAACACAUGCAAGUCGAGCGGUAAGGCCUUUCGGGGUACACGAGCGGCGAACGGGUGAGUAACACGUGGGUGAUCUGCCCUGCACUCUGGGAUAAGCCUGGGAAACUGGGUCUAAUACCGGAUAUGACCUGCUCUCGCAUGGGGGUGGGUGGAAAGAUUUAUCGGUGCAGGAUGGGCCCGCGGCCUAUCAGCUUGUUGGUGGGGUAAUGGCCUACCAAGGCGACGACGGGUAGCCGACCUGAGAGGGUGACCGGCCACACUGGGACUGAGACACGGCCCAGACUCCUACGGGAGCAGCAGUGGGGAAUAUUGCACAAUGGGCGAAAGCCUGAUGCAGCGACGCCGCGUGAGGAUGAAGGCCUUCGGGUUGUAAACCUCUUUCAGCAGGACGAAGCGCAAGUGACGGUACCUGCAGAAGAAGCGACCGACUAACUACGUGCCAGCAGCCGAC